GUCAUUGAGUAUUCAAUGCUCCUAUGAAUUAAAAAAAGAAAAAUUCAGAUAUAUCUCGAGGGCCGUUGCUUCAAUUUGGUCCAUCCCCACUUAAAUUUUUCAUUUUUUUGGUGAAAAACUUCAGUUUAAAUGGAGAGUUUAAAAGAAAGUACUCAAUAAGAAAAGAGUAGAAACUAAAAAGAGACAAGAAGCUGAUUAUAACAAUGGAGAGGUAGUAAAGCAAGCACAAGUUAUGUUUCUUUUUGCAGGGCUGAAGCAUUAAUGAUGUUCAUUUAUUGAUGUAAAGAUUUCUCAAUAUUCCUUUAGGCAAUGCGAU
rnacentral:misc_RNA from 1 species